rnacentral:misc_RNA from 1 species
GUUCAACACCUAGAAGCAGUCCUCUUCCCCUCACAUCACCAACAAUUUCAUGCUUAUUUUUGAUAGCCAUAAGGCGCUCUUUCAAGUAGGAACCAACAAAGUGAGCAUUUUGUUGAAGGUUUUCUUUUUCAAUCACUCUAAGGACAGCAAGUCCUGCAGAAGUACAAACAGGGUUUCCACCAAAUGUGUUGAAAUAAUUACUAUGGC